AUGGCACUUGAGGCAUUCAAGCUUCAAGGGUUUGAAUUGCAAUGGCACUUUGCUAUUGUUCUAGGUGCUGCCUUUUUGUUCGUUGUAGCAGUAUUUGUCUUGCUGAAAUUGUUCAUAUCCAAUUCCUUUGGUGACUUGCAAGCUGCUCAUGUCUUUCCUAAUGAAUGCCAUUAUCCUUCUUCAUCUGCAUUAUUUAUAACAAGAAGGGUUGUGUUUCUUGGACUCCCUUAUCUGUCAUGCAGCCCUUCACACACCAUAUACCCACCAGCACUUGCUCAAAAGGAACAUGAGCCCAAUUAA